rnacentral:rRNA from 1 species
ACUCCUACGGGAGGCAGCAGUGGGAAUAUUGCGCAAUGGGCGAAAGCCUGACGCAGCAACGCCGCGUGUGGGAUGACAGCUUUCGGGUUGUAAACCACUUUCAGUGACGACGAAAAUGACGGUAGUCACAGAAGAAGGUCCGGCCAACUACGUGCCAGCAGCCGCGGUAACACGUAGGGACCGAGCGUUGUCCGGAUUUAUUGGGCGUAAAGAGCUCGUAGGCGGUUCCGUAAGUCGGAUGUGAAAACUCAGGGCUCAACCCGCGAGACGCCAUCUGAUACUGCGGUGACUGGAGUCCGGUAGGGAGCAUGGAAUUCCUGGUGUAGCGGUGGAAUGCGCAGAUAUCAGGAGGAACACCAAUGGCGAAGGCAGUGCUCUGGGCCGGUACUGACGCUGAGGAGCGAAAGCAUGGGGAGCAAACAGGAUUAGAUACCCUGGUAGGCUCUGC